GACACCAGCACCCGGAGCUGAGCAGGGCUGGGCUGAUGGGGAGCCUGAAGGGCCUGAUGGGGAAUGCCCGCCCCGGGCUGUCAACCUGUGCCAGGUAUGGCUCCACGCCAGCUGUGCCUUUAGGUCCUGAGUUCGCACAGGGCAUUCAUUCUCAGCAAUCCGGAAGACGACCCUCAAGCUGCCCUCCUGAAGCCACACCCACUCCCAGGAGGCAGGGGAGGGCACCCCUGUUCCCGAGUGUUCUCAGGAGGCCCGCUGAUGGCAGAGUUGAAGAACAAUGGGAGAUUUGCCCUUGAGAAGGCCCAACGAUCCCCUUUCUCAGGGAAGUGCUCCAGGACCCUGACUCUCAGGCAGGCCUGCCUCACCCCUACACGGACUCCCUCCACUGAGCCCCCUGCGUGUCUUUAAUUCCCUGCUGACGGGGAAGGGAGUUCUGGCCGCACCUCCCACCCUUCAGGUUCCAGGAUCUUCACUUUCCAGACACUCUGCCACUUCCCCCGCUUUAUCCAGUUUUGGCGGCCUCGGGAUGUGGGCCUGGGGCUCGCUGGUGGGGCCAGGCCAGCAGCCAGGGCCCUGCGAGGCCCACCUGGGCUCCCCUCCCAGCUUCCUGGAUCUACCCUACUCCCUCUGUAAAAAGCCGCACGACGACAGUGGCCAGGUUCAGGGAGCCUCUGCGGUCUACACCAGUCCUCUCGUUAAACCUCACAAGUCCCCAAGGCAGGAAGGAGUUCCUGGUCCCUCUUUCGAUGGCAGAGGACAGGGACCUUCCGAGGGCUCUGCACGUCUCACAGUCUCACGUGACCACCUUGCAGUUCAAAAGCUCCACUUGGCUAGAACCGCCGAGUUCUCUGGUGGUGCUGCCUCACUGGAGGACAACUGUGAGCUCAGAGGCCACGUCUUCAGUUCCCAGCCCCUUGGCCUCUCCCACCGCAGGCCUCUCCCUGACCUGAGGUUGCCCUGCCGUCUCCCCUCCCUUCCCUCGCCCGCAGGCUGUAUCCUCACCCCUCCUGCCACUUCUGGGCUCCGGGGCUCACCCCACAGCUUCGAGCCGUCUCCUCUCCUGCCCACGCCCAGGCUCCCAGCUGGCUGGCGGACCUCAGCCCCCCGCCCCCGCUCCCCUCCGACUCUCCCCAUCUGACCCGUCUCAUCCACACUCUGGGCCCCUCUUCCUCCCAAACCACUUCCUCCUCUUGAGGAACCCCCUCACUGGUCCUGCAGUCACUUGGGUUCCACGGUCAUCAGCUUCGCCUCUCUCCUCUCCCUCGGCCUCCACAGGCCAUCACCGGGUCGCUCCCCUCCUGCUGCUCCCAAUACCAUUGCCCUGGUUCUCCUUCCCAGAGGGCAGAGCGCGGGGCCCAGGAAAGCCUCCACCGGCCGCUCAUUCAACACUUCUUUAUUGAGAGCACGCACCAGGCGUUGUCCCCACCGCGUGGAGCGAGACAACGCCCGCCCGUGGGGACACUCAUCCUAGCGGGGACAGAUAGUAACUUCGAUCCAAACGUACAUCAGGUCGGAGUGCCCUGAAAACAGUAAAAGCAGAGCUGGGAUAGGUAUGCCCAAGCAGGGGGGCUCCUUGAUGCGGGGUGGUCUGGGAGGCCCUCCUCCGUCCAGAGGGUGGCAUGGCUGCAGAGGGCCGAGGCCAGUCACCGAGGUCAAAAGGAACGUAACUCUCUGAGGAAGAGCACACCGUCAGUUUGGUAAUAAAAACCCAGGGACUUUA